rnacentral:rRNA from 1 species
CAGUCGAGCGAUGAAGCUUCCUUCGGGAAGUGGAUUAGCGGCGGACGGGUGAGUAACACGUGGGUAACCUGCCUCAAAGUGGGGGAUAGCCUUCCGAAAGGAAGAUUAAUACCGCAUAACAUAAGAGAAUCGCAUGAUUUUCUUAUCAAAGAUUUAUUGCUUUGAGAUGGACCCGCGGCGCAUUAGCUAGUUGGUAAGGUAACGGCUUACCAAGGCAACGAUGCGUAGCCGACCUGAGAGGGUGAUCGGCCACAUUGGAACUGAGACACGGUCCAGACUCCUACGGGAGGCAGCAGUGGGGAAUAUUGCGCAAUGGGGGAAACCCUGACGCAGCAACGCCGCGUGGGUGAUGAAGGUCUUCGGAUUGUAAAGCCCUGUUUUCUGGGACGAUAAUGACGGUACCAGAGGAGGAAGCCACGGCUAACUACGUGCCAGCAGCCGCGGUAAUACGUAGGUGGCGAGCGUUGUCCGGAUUUACUGGGCGUAAAGGGUGCGUAGGCGGAUGUUUAAGUGGGAUGUGAAAUCCCCGGGCUUAACCUGGGGGCUGCAUUCCAAACUGGAUAUCUAGAGUGCAGGAGAGGAAAGCGGAAUUCCUAGUGUAGCGGUGAAAUGCGUAGAGAUUAGGAAGAACACCAGUGGCGAAGGCGGCUUUCUGGACUGUAACUGA